CGCCUGGGGAGUACGGCCGCAAGGUUAAAACUCAAAUGAAUUGACGGGGGCCCGCACAAGCGGUGGAGCAUGUGGUUUAAUUCGACGCAACGCGAAGAACCUUACCUGGCCUUGACAUGCAGAGAACUUUCCAGAGAUGGAUUGGUGCCUUCGGGAACUCUGACACAGGUGCUGCAUGGCCGUCGUCAGCUCGUGUCGUGAGAUGUUGGGUUAAGUCCCGUAACGAGCGCAACCCCUAUCCCUAGUUGCUAGCAGUUCGGCUGAGAACUCUAGGGAGACUGCCGGUGACAAACCGGAGGAAGGUGGGGAUGACGUCAGGUCAUCAUGGCCCUUACGGCCAGGGCUACACACGUGCUACAAUGGCGCGCACAGAGGGCUGCAAACCCGCGAGGGGGAGCCAAUCUCACAAAACGCGUCGUAGUCCGGAUCGCAGUCUGCAACUCGACUGCGUGAAGUCGGAAUCGCUAGUAAUCGUGAAUCAGAAUGUCACGGUGAAUACGUUCCCGGGCCUUGUACACACCGCCCGUCACACCAUGGGAGUGGAUUGCACCAGAAGUGGUUAGUCUGACCUUCGGGAGGACGAUCACCACGGUGUGGUUCAUGACUGGGGUGAAGUCGUAACAAGGUAACCGUA
rnacentral:rRNA from 1 species